AGGGGUGACAUCCAAAGAUAUCAAAAGGAAUGCCAUUUAGCGAAGGCAAUUAUCUAGUAAAAUACUGACGUUGAUUAACGAAAGCAUGGGGAGCAAAUAGGAUUUGAUACCCUAGUAGUCCAUGCUGUAAACUAUGAAUAUUAAUUAUUGUGAAUUUAUUUGCAGUAAUUUAGUUAACGUAUAAAUAUUCCGCCUGGGAAGUAAAACCGCAAGGUUGAAACUCAAAGGAAUUGACGGGGGCUCACACAAGCGGUGGAACAUGUGGUUUAAUCCGAUAACCCGCGUAAAAUCUUACCAGUUCUUGACUUAAUUUAGUUUUAAAAGUAUUAUAUUAAAAACAUAAUAUUUAAAAAUUACAGGCGUUGCAUGGCUGUCGUCAGCUCGUGUUUUGAAAUGUUAAGUUCAUUCUUUUUAACGAGCGCAACCCUUGUUACUAGUUGCCAGCAUUAAGUUGGGCACUCUAGUGAGACUGCCGGUGACAAACCGGAGGAAGGUGGGGACGACGUCAGAUCAUCAUGCCCCUUAUGACCUGGGCUACACACGUGCUACAAUGGACGGUACAACGAGUCGCAAGCUCGCGAGAGUAAGCUAAUCUCUUAAAACCGAUCUCAGUUCGGACUGUAGGCUGCAACUCGCCUACACGAAGUCGGAAUCGCUAGUAAUC
rnacentral:rRNA from 1 species